rnacentral:rRNA from 1 species
UACGUAGGGGGCAAGCGUUGUCCGGAUUUAUUGGGCGUAAAGAGCGUGUAGGCGGCCAAGCAGGUCCGCUGUGAAAACUCGAGGCUCAACCUCGAGACGUCGGUUGAAACCGUAUGGCUAGAGUCCGGAAGAGGAGAGUGGAAUUCCCGGUGUAGCGGUGAAAUGCGCAGAUAUCGGGAAGAACACCCGUGGCGAAGGCGGCUCUCUGGGACGGUACUGACGCUGAGACGCGAAAGCGUGGGGAGCGAACAGG